UACAGAGGUGCCAAGCGUUGUUCGGAUUUAUUGGGCGUAAAGAGCUCGUAGGCGGUCUGUCGCGUCGGCUGUGAAAACCCGGGGCUCAACCCCGGGCCUGCAGUCGAUACGGGCAGACUAGAGUGCGGUAGGGGAGACUGGAAUUCCUGGUGUAGCGGUGAAAUGCGCAGAUAUCAGGAGGAACACCGGUGGCGAAGGCGGGUCUCUGGGCCGUAACUGACGCUGAGGAGCGAAAGCGUGGGGAGCGAACAGG
rnacentral:rRNA from 1 species